rnacentral:rRNA from 1 species
GUAGGUGGCAAGCGUUGUCCGGAAUUAUUGGGCGUAAAGCGCGCGCAGGUGGUUCUUUAAGUCUGAUGUGAAAGCCCCCGGCUCAGCCGGGGAGGGUCAUUGGAAACUGGGGAACUUGAGUGCAGGAGAGGAAAGUGGAAUUCCACGUGUAGCGGUGAAAUGCGUAGAUAUGUGGAGGAACACCAGUGGCGAAGGCGACUUUCUGGCCUGUAACUGACACUGAGGCGCGAAAGCGUGGGGAGCAAACAGGGAUUAGAUACCCUGGUAGUCCACGCCGUAAACGAUGAGUGCUAAGUGUUGGGGGGGUUUCCGCCCCCUCAGUGCUGCAGCUAACGCAUUAAGCACUCCGCCUGGGAGUACGGUCGCAAGACUG